CUCCAGCCCGCCCCGCGGGUUGAGGCGCGCGGUGGUGUGGAGUCCUUUGGACCACACACUCGAUCUGCAGGUCCUACUACAGAGAUGUCAGAAUAAUGGCUCCUUGCCCAGUGUGGGCCUCGGACUCAGGACCCUGAG